UGGGGAAUAUUGCACAAUGGGGGAAACCCUGAUGCAGCAACGCCGCGUGAGUGAUGACGGCCUUCGGGUUGUAAAGCUCUGUCUUCAGGGACGAUAAUGACGGUACCUGAGGAGGAAGCCACGGCUAACUACGUGCCAGCAGCCGCGGUAAUACGUAGGUGGCAAGCGUUGUCCGGAUUUACUGGGCGUAAAGGGAGCGUAGGCGGACUUUUAAGUGAGAUGUGAAAUACCCGGGCUCAACCUGGGUGCUGCAUUUCAAACUGGAAGGCUAGAGUGCAGGAGAGGAGAGUGGAAUUCCUAGUGUAGCGGUGAAAUGCGUAGAGAUUAGGAAGAACACCAGUGGCGAAGGCGACUCUCUGGACUGUAACUGACGCUGAGGCUCGAAAGCGUGGGGAGCAAACA
rnacentral:rRNA from 1 species